ACGCGAGGAACCUUACCAGGUCUUGACAUCCUCUGACACUCCUAGAGAUAGGACGUUCCCCUUCGGGGGACAGAGUGACAGGUGGUGCAUGGUUGUCGUCAGCUCGUGUCGUGAGAUGUUGGGUUAAGUCCCGCAACGAGCGCAACCCUUGAUCUUAGUUGCCAGCAUUAAGUUGGGCACUCUAAGGUGACUGCCGGUGACAAACCGGAGGAAGGUGGGGAUGACGUCAAAUCAUCAUGCCCCUUAUGACCUGGGCUACACACGUGCUACAAUGGAUGGUACAAAGGGCAGCAAAGCGGUGACGCCUAGCAAAUCCCAUAAAACCAUUCUCAGUUCGGAUUGCAGGCUGCAACUCGCCUGCAUGAAGCUGGAAUCGCUAGUAAUCGCGGAUCAGCAUGCCGCGGUGAAUACGUUCCCGGGCCUUGCACACACCGCCCGU
rnacentral:rRNA from 1 species